UUGACGGGGACCCGCACAAGCGGUGGAGCAUGUGGUUUAAUUCGACGCAACGCGAAGAACCUUACCAGGGCUUGACAUCCCCUGACCGCGUAUGAAAGUACGUUUUCACCCUCGGGUGACAGGGAGACAGGUGGUGCAUGGUUGUCGUCAGCUCGUGUCGUGAGAUGUUGGGUUAAGUCCCGCAACGAGCGCAACCCCUACGUUUAGUUGCUAACGCGUGAAGGCGAGCACUCUAGACGAACUGCCGUUGACAAAACGGAGGAAGGUGGGGAUGACGUCAAAUCAUCAUGCCCCUUAUGUUCUGGGCUACACACGUGCUACAAUGGCCGGUACAGACGGAGGCGAAGCCGCGAGGCGGAGCAAAUCCGAAAAAGCCGGUCUCAGUUCGGAUUGCAGGCUGCAAUUCGCCUGCAUGAAGUCGGAAUCGCUAGUAAUCGCAGGUCAGCAUACUGCGGUGAAUACGUUCCCGGGCCUU
rnacentral:rRNA from 1 species